UAACAGGAGAGAAUAACAAAGACACUGAGAGUUGGCUCGCUCCCUGGAGCUCAGAGAGCAAGGGGAAGCGAACGUGGUGUAAGAGGAGAUGGGAGAGAUCCAGGAAGAGGGAGGAAAUGAAGGGAGGCUCAGAAAGAAGCAGUUUAACUUAUAUGAAAAAUAUUUUGACUAACUCAUUGAGUUUGUCAAGUAAAACAGUGAGCAAUGUGAGACCUGGAGAGAGGAAGAGAAAUUCAGAAGAUUCUGAGACAAAUGUUAAGGACAACUGUUAGAAGAAGGCUAGUGGCCCCUCCUAACCUCCUAACUUGAGGACUGAUUGAACUUCUAGGCGUUACUCCCAAUGACCCAACUUUGAACUAACUGCCCAUGUGGCAAGGUGAUGUGAAGAUACUUUCAUUCUGAAGGAAGACUCUAACAAUACAAAGGAAUGAAUAUCUAAUGUUGGAACUUCAGGUACAUAAAGUGUCCAAAGAUGUUUUGGGCCAGGAUGUUCUACCUUGUGCUGUUCAAAUGAUCGACUAGGUAGCCUCCUACUUUACCCUCUUGAGAGGUUGGCUCUGCCCUUUGGAACUUCAGAAACAUCUGGCUCAUUGUCCUUCUCAAAGAAAAAGUUUGCCACCCCAGAUCUGACGAAUGCAGGCAGCUUGCUGUGAACACACUUAUCUGGAGUGCCCUGGGCCUCAGGCGGUCCUAUGAAAAGGCCAAUAUGGAGAGAACCGGAGGCCUCCCAUCCAGAGCCAACACAAACUUCCUCGUCAUGAGUGAAUCAGCAGGGAAGUGGAGUCUUCAACUCCAGUUCAGCCUUCAAAAGGUUUCAGCCUUACCUGCUAUCAGCCCGUAUCCUCAUGAGACACACCGAGCCAGAACCAUCUAGUCAAACCACUGCCAAAUAACUGAAGCACAGAAACCAUAGGAGAUAAUUAAAGAUCAAGUGUUAUUUUAAGCCUCAAAGUUUUGGGGUAAUUUAUCAGGCAGCCAUAGUAAAUAGAAUAUAUUAUGUAUUGUCCCCAGGUAAAAUGCUCAUUCACUUCCUUUAAAAGUUCUUGGAGGUAGGAAGAAUAUAAACACAUAAAAAUCUUCAUCACCCUAUUAUAUCUGAUGAUCUCAAAGCUUUGCAAUAACUACUAAGACCUCAGACAUCACAUUCCAAUAAAGGUAUAGGAAUCAAAUUAUUUCUUUAGUAUUUAUAAAUAUCAUCAAUGUUUUCAUCUACAGCCUCUACAAACUGUCUUUGUUCCCUGCUGACAUCAUACUUUCAUUAUACCUGGUAUUCUUCAAAUCACUCGUUUGCAAGGAAAGUGAAUUUAGAAUUGCUAGCCAUCAGUCUGUCAAUGACGCCAUCAAGCAAUUUUGGUUUUUUUUCUAAGUAGUCCUGGAAGGCAUUUAUUGUUCCCUUUUCACAGGCAAGGAAGUUGAGGCUCACAGAGAUUAAAGGGCUACAGCCACAUAAUUGGUUAUUGAGAGCUAGGACUGAAGCUCAGCCUCCUGACUCUACACUAAGAGAUCUUGUUUCUUCACCUCUGAGUAUAAAUAGUCCAGAGUGGCUUUGGGUUAUAGGUCAGACAGUCUUUACCAUUGUGCUAGUACUGACUCUAGAAAUUAAGGUCCAAGCUUAUGUUCAUGAUAAAUAUACACGGUCCAAGUGCUGGGUAUCUAUUGGCAAAUAAAACCCACAUCUUCACUUUCAUGGAUCUUCCGGUCCAGUCUAGGAGCUUACAGUCUAUCUGAUACGUAUUUUUUUUUUCCUUGGACAUCUAUUUAUUGCUUAAUUAAGGCUUUAUAAUAUUGCAUGAAUGAAAAGCAAUAGGAUGCCUUGAGACUCAUCAAUUACUUAACCCUUGAACUUUUGUAAGGUUUUCUUUCUUUCUUCUUAAAGCUAAAUUCCCCAGAUGGGUGAGUAAUUAGAUCAAGGUUCAGAAUAACAAAGACAGAUAAGGUAACUGCAAACAACAUCAUCCCACGUUGAAAGAGCUAUUCUGGUCUUUCACCUAAAGUGACUUCUUUCUGCUGAAAGAGAUUUGGCAGCAGCUAGCUUAGCUGAUGGCAGAAAAAUCAACCAUGAAAUAUAAAGGUUUCAUAAGAUUGUGACAUAACCCAGUUUUUUACAGCCAUUAUAUAAUCAAUGGCAAAAUAGCAGGGGGACCGAAAUAACUUAUACCUUACUUUUGGAAUGCAAUAAAAUCUCUAUUUUGCUGUCUCCACAGA